rnacentral:rRNA from 1 species
CUCGUAAGAGCAAAGACAGGGGACCGUUCGGGCCGUUGCGCUACCGGAUAUGCCCAGGUGGGAUUAGCUAGUUGGUGAGGUAAGGGCUCACCAAGGCGACGAUCCCUAGCUGGUCUGAGAGGAUGAUCAGCCACACUGGAACUGAGACACGGUCCAGACUCCUACGGGAGGCAGCAGUGGGGAAUAUUGCACAAUGGGCGCAAGCCUGAUGCAGCCAUGCCGCGUGUAUGAAGAAGGCCUUCGGUUG